AGACGAAACAAAGCCCUACCAAGCUCUGGUUCAACAACACCUAAGUGGCAAGUCGUCGGUAUAAAACACACGCAGUGACACGUAAGAUCUAUAGUUAACAACACUGGGAGAUAAAAAUGACAUCCCCACCCGCUGCAGGAAAGUACAAAUGGAAGUUUUAGGUGAACGUUAGUUGCCUUGAAGUUCGUCGUGCGUUACACAACUCCCAAAAAAAUGUUGAGUAUAGAAUGCAAGCUCUUGAGGUUGUCAGUAUCUCCAUGUUGGUACACAAACCAGUCUUUCACGUAAGAGUAUUCCUGUGUGAGAGCUGGAAUCAGUCAAUUGACUGGUAGCAGAGCAAGUAAGGGAAGGCUCGAUCACCUGCUGUCACCAAGUACUUUUGCUUUGGCCUGAGGGGCAGGAUGUGUUUUUGUAGGUUUUGGUCUGUAUACCUAGGUAAACCACAAGCUAUUUUAAAACCAUAAGCUGUCAUGGGAGAGAUUUAAUCCUCAGUUGGCUACUUGAAUCUCCACCCAGAUACGUUAUGUUCCCUGUCAUGAUAGUGAACAGGGAAGCGAUGGUUCCUGUAACUUCCCAUUCAAUUUGUCAAGAAGGAAAUCUUAGCGAAGCACUGAAAAAGAAAAAGGCUGUGUAACUCACCUUUACACUUCAUUAAGGGUGAGGCUAGCAAAAAGUCUUGAGUGUGAGAUCUUGGGCCAAAGCCUCCCAGGGACUCAUACAGUGCCCAAAUUAAGCCAUGGAAUACACAAGUCACACCCCACUCCAGAGGCUGAAGCUCCUCAUGAGCACAAAUAGCAACAGAAUCAAAGAAAUGAAUGCCUUAGUCUGAAGGCCUGGCUCAAGCCCAAGUGAUAGCCUUUCAGUACAGAGGCAGAGGAACUUGUCUCAGUGAAGGCAAAGAAGGAAGUUGAUGAUCUACAACAGAAUUACCAACCAGAAAGAGACCCUUUCUGUAAUACCAGUCUUUCGAGCUAUAUCUUUGGAGUUAUCCAACAACCCCUGUCAGAAAAAGGCUUUUCUUUGAGGAAUGCACAGAGAACAUCUGGAUACCUCCAUAAUUCCACAUCUAACAUGUCCCAGGGAGGAUGGGCACUUCCCCUGAUAUAUGUUAGACAAAGAAUUUUAGAGGUACCUAAUAAUCUCCUGACAGUCCUUUGAGAAAAGCCUCUCUCACAGGAUCUGCUAGAUAACCUCUAAGCACAUCAGUAUCUGUUAAGACUGUGACACCUGACAGGAGGUGAAAGAACCCACCCAUUUCCCUAAUGGGAAUUCUUGUAAGAAGGCUUCCUGGAUUCUUCUUCCUGAAUGAGGAAAGGUAGAAGAUGGGGAAGAGAAAGGGUCUGAUCAGGAGUAGGAGGAAGAAAAGUGCUUGCACUUCUCUAUCUUACUCUUUGCUCAUAUCUUCUUUGGCAGGACAGUCCAGUGGUAGUCAUUCUUCCCAAGAUUGACAGUGUGGGUGCAUCUCCCUAAGAAAACGUUACCCACUGCUGGAAGCAUAACAGUGCUAAACCCCUUAGCAGCAGCAGAUGAACAUUCAACAUGGUAAAGGUAUGGAGGUGAAGUGCACACAUGUGAAAGGCCUAAUAUCCACACCUGAAUCGUCAAUGGAGAAGAGCAUGUAUAGGUCAUUCGCCUUCCUGUGUCUGGCCCUUUCAGCUGAGAGAGUGGUGUAUAAUGCAUGAAAGGAGCAAGGAGAGGUCUGUAGGUGGGGAGGAAGGACUGAAAAAGCAGAUGCUUUUCAGCCCUCCUUCCUCUGAAUUCCAAACCUUUUCCAAUGUGAAAGAGACUAACCAGUGCACUCUUGCAGGACUGUAGGUCCUACUACAAAGGAGCAGUAACUGUGGAGAACUACCUAAACUGAGGAAAUGACGAGCCACAUACACCUGCUCAAGCUCUUUAUACCCCAUUGUUCAAACUCACUGAUCCAUGGUAAUGCAUAUGAAACCUUAAGAUAAAAUUAUUUCCAAUUUGGCAGUCAGCAGGAGUGCAGUAAGAGACAUCCUCGCCAGACAGAAGACAAAGAAAAAGUGCUCAGUGACAAAAGGGAAGUAGGGGUCAUUAACUGGAUUGUUACCAAGUUUUAACAACCAAUUCCAGCCCAUGCAGAGGAAUAUUCCUAAUUUCCUAUACAGAAGGCAGUUGUUUCUAUUUCUACUGGAACAAAACUGAAUCCUGUACAAUAUACCUAAUAUGUUAACACUAUUUCUAAAUUAGAAUAGUAUAUUCGCAUUUCAUUUUCAACCAGUUCAAUCUGAAUCAGAUAACUUCACAAAGAUUUGAUGUUUGUUCAUAGUAUCUGUAUUCUUGUAUCAAAUGAAAAAAUGGGUUGCUUUAUAGACCUUAUGAAAAUCUCU